GUGGGUUCUCUGGGAUGUUUUCUCCAGGAGCUGGGGUCAGAAGGUGAAAGGUUCUUCUGUGGCGUAUAUACAGUACGGUACUGUUUAAGCGCGUGACCAUCACCACCGCCGCCUCUUUUCCCUUCUCGCGCACAAUUCUGGCCGCGAUGGACCGGCGGCCCCCGCAGUUAAUCCGGAGCGGAGGAGAAAGUGCGCGAGCUCACCGGAAACGGGCGAGGAUGCACCUGAUCCACUAGACAGGACGCCGCGAUUGUUUCAUCCAUACGGAAACUUUAAAGCUGUGGCGCGCGCCGACACGGAGCUCCGUUUCUCGUUACGUGUUUUAAACCGGCUCGGGUUUAACGCGUGGACGCAAAAAAAAAAUGUCGCGGGAGAAGAUUCCGUACAGUUUGCCUCGAGCGCGCAAGCUCUAGUGGAGGACGCACGCGUCGCGCUCGGGAGCUUC
ensembl:lncRNA